AUGGAGGGCAGGGCCCCGGGGGCUCUAACCAGGUGGUCCCCCAGCACUGACCCCCAGCUGUGUCUGGAGCGACAGCUGCAGAGGCAGACCCCUGGGAGGCACAGAGCCACGCCCAGCCGCGGGUCUUCACACCCUCUGGGAGCACAGGCCUCCGUCACGGCCCCCACCGUCUACCCUCUGGAUUCCAGCUGCACGGGCACGUCCGGCUCCGCGGUGACCGUGGGCUGCCUGGUCUCCAACUACGUCCCGGAGCCCGUGACCGUGACCUGGAACUCGGGCGCCCUGUCCAGCGGCGUGCACACCUUCCCGUCCGUCCGGCACUCCUCGGGGCUCUACUCCCUCAGCAGCACUGUGACCGUGCCCGCCAGCACCUCGACCGGCAAGACCGUCACCUGCAAUGUAGCCCACCCGGCCAGCAGCACCAAGGUGGACAAGCAAGUCGCCUGCGAGACCCCGGGAGGACCAUCCGUCUUCAUCUUCCCCCCGAAACCCAAGGACACCCUCACAAUCUCCCGCACACCCGAGGUCACCUGCUUGGUGGUGGACGUAGGCCAGGAGGACCCCGAUGUUCAAUUCUCCUGGUACGUGGGUGAGGUGGAGGUGCACACGGCCAAGACGCAGCCAAGGGAGGAGCAGUUCAACAGCACCUAUCGCGUGGUCAGCGCCCUGCCCAUCCAGCACCAGGACUGGAUACAGGGAAAGGAGUUCAAGUGCAAGGUCAACAACAAGGGCCUCCCGGCCCCCAUCGUGAGGACCAUCUCCAAGGCCAAAGGGCAGCCCCGGGAGCCACAGGUGUACGUUCUGGCCUCACCCAGGGAAGAGCUGGCCGAGAGCACAGUCAGCUUAACCUGCAUGGUCACCGGCUUCUAUCCGAGUGACAUCAACGUGGAGUGGCAGAGGAAAGGACAGCCUGUGUCAGAGGACAAUUACGGCACGACCCCACCCCAGCUGGACGCCGACGGCUCCUUCUUCCUGUACAGCAGGCUCAGGGUGGACAGGAGCAGCUGGCAGCAGGGAGACACCUACACGUGCGUCGUGAUGCACGAGGCUCUACACAAUCACCUCACACAGAAGACCAUCUCCAAGUCUCCGGAGCCCCGGCGCACGCCGGGCCUGCGGGGCAGGGGUGGCCGGCCCUGGGCCACAGGGGUCACCAUCACUGGGGGAGAGCGGGUCCCUCUCGGGCACCGACCCAGAGCGUGCGGGUCUGCACGGGCCACCUGGAGGCUGCCCGAGGCCGGGGAGGGCCUUUGGCAGAGGGGACAGCUCCUCCGGCCGGCCUCCAGCCAGCAGCGGCUCUGGCUGCCCUGUGUGCACGGCAACGGGAGAGGCCCCGCGGAGACCCUCGGGGACAUGAGUGCCCACGUCUGCCCGCCCCUGUUCCAGCCCAAGCCGCGGCACAGUGGCCCAGCCUUCUCCCCGGGUUCCUGUCCCCUGUCUCCAGAGUCCACGUGUGGCUCUGUGGCCUCACGGGAACCACGCAUGGCCCACACUGCAGGGACGGCCCCGCUGCACGCUCAGGCACUGCAGAGCCAGCCCCCACCCUGCCUCAGGCAGGCGGCUCUGCCCCGCGUGUCCCUGCCAUGCCAGGCCUGUGCCCUCGGGGGACACGGACCCCUGUGCCCGAAAUGGCCAGGCCAGGCGGCCCUGAAACUGCUCCUGGAGGAGGAGAGCUGUGCCGACGCCCAGGACGGGGAGCUGGACGGGCUGUGGACCACCAUCUCCAUCUUCAUCACACUCUUCCUGCUCAGCGUGUGCUACAGCGCCACCGUGACCCUCUUCAAGGUGAAGUGGAUCUUCUCGUCGGUGGUGGAGCUGAAGCGCACGGUCAUCCCCGACUACAGAAACAUGAUCGGGCAGGGCGCCUAG